ACUCGAGUGGCGAACGGGUGAGUAACACGUGGGUGAUCUGCCCUGCACUUCGGGAUAAGCCUGGGAAACUGGGUCUAAUACCGGAUAGGAGCCAUUUUUAGUGUGAUGGUUGGAAAGUUUUUUCGGUGUAGGAUGAGCUCGCGGCCUAUCAGCUUGUUGGUGGGGUAAUGGCCUACCAAGGCGGCGACGGGUAGCCGGCCUGAGAGGGUGGACGGCCACAUUGGGACUGAGAUACGGCCCAGACUCCUACGGGAGGCAGCAGUGGGGAAUAUUGCACAAUGGGCGCAAGCCUGAUGCAGCGACGCCGCGUGGGGGAUGACGGCCUUCGGGUUGUAAACUCCUUUCGCUAGGGACGAAGCUUUUUGUGACGGUACCUAGAUAAGAAGCACCGGCUAACUACGUGCCAGCAGCCGCGGUAAUACGUAGGGUGCGAGCGUUGUCCGGAAUUACUGGGCGUAAAGGGCUCGUAGGUGGUUUGUCGCGUCGUCUGUGAAAUUCCGGGGCUUAACUCCGGGCGUGCAGGCGAUACGGGCAUAACUUGAGUACUGUAGGGGUAACUGGAAUUCCUGGUGUAGCGGUGAAAUGCGCA
rnacentral:rRNA from 1 species